GGUUAAGCGACUAAGCGUACACGGUGGAUGCCCUGGCAGUCAGAGGCGAUGAAGGACGUGCUAAUCUGCGAUAAGCGUCGGUAAGGUGAUAUGAACCGUUAUAACCGGCGAUUUCCGAAUGGGGAAACCCAGUGUGUUUCGACACACUAUCAUUAACUGAAUCCAUAGGUUAAUGAGGCGAACCGGGGGAACUGAAACAUCUAAGUACCCCGAGGAAAAGAAAUCAACCGAGAUUCCCCCAGUAGCGGCGAGCGAACGGGGAGGAGCCCAGAGCCUGAAUCAGUGUGUGUGUUAGUGGAAGCGUCUGGAAAGGCGCGCGAUACAGGGUGACAGCCCCGUACACAAAAAUGCACAUGCUGUGAGCUCGAUGAGUAGG
rnacentral:rRNA from 1 species